AACGAACGCUGGCGGCAGGCUUAACACAUGCAAGUCGAACGCCCCUUUCGGGGGGAGUGGCAGACGGGUGAGUAACGCGUGGGAACGUGCCCUUCAGUUUGGAAUAACCCAGGGAAACUUGGGCUAAUACCGGAUACGCCCUUCGGGGGAAAGAUUUAUCGCUGAAGGAUCGGCCCGCGUCUGAUUAGCUGAUUGGUGAGGUAAUGGCUCACCAAGGCGACGAUCAGUAGCUGGUCUGAGAGGAUGAUCAGCCACAUUGGGACUGAGACACGGCCCAAACUCCUACGGGAGGCAGCAGUGGGGAAUAUUGGACAAUGGGCGCAAGCCUGAUCCAGCCAUGCCGCGUGAGUGAUGACGGCCUUAGGGUUGUAAAGCUCUUUCGCACGCGACGAUAAUGACGGUAGCGUGAGAAGAAGCCCCGGCUAACUUCGUGCCAGCCGCCGCGGUAAUAC
rnacentral:rRNA from 1 species